CUCUCUCUCUCACCCCAACUGGUCGAGACAGAUGACCACCCACCUAGAGCCGAAGGAUCUGUCCUAGGUUUCUGCCUUUUAACAGGCAGUUUUUCCUUGCCCUUGUUGCCAAGUGCUUGCUCAUGGUGGUACUGUUGGGUCUCUGUAAUUAAUGUUUUAAAGAGUUUGGUCUAGACCUGCUCUAUUUGAAAAGUGUCCUGAGAUAACUUCUGUUAUGAAUUGGCGCUAUACAAAUAAAAUUGAAUUGAAUUGAAUUGUUGUGCUCCUUCAAAACCAUUCCUGAACCAUUUUUGCUUUGUGGCAUGGUGCAUUAUCCUGCUGAAAGAGGCCACUGCCAUCAGAGAAUACAAUUUGGUAAAUGGAACUGUACUUGUAUAGCGUCUUUCUAGUCUUCCGACCACUUUUACACUACGUGCCAUAUUCACCCUUUCACACACAUUCACUCAGCGAUGCACAGCAUCUGUCAUGGCUCUGCUCCCCUCCUGCUCCCUUUGCUCCUCCCCCUUCCCUGUGUGUCUGAGGGUGCGGCCUCCAUUCUCCUCACCUGCUGCCUGCUGUCUCACCUGCUCUCAAUCAUUCAUCAUUCCUCAGUCUUCAAGAACCCCGGUCUUCCUCCCAUUCAUCGCCAGAUUGUUUCAGCCUAUGUGGUGGGUCCCUUUGUGCAGUUUGGCUUCCUGUGUCCGCUCACCUGUGCCUCUGUGUCUCCGGUCUCUUCCGCCAUCUCACCCACCCGUUCCUGCUGUGGCCGCCCCUCAUCCCCCCUGCGUGUGUGUGUGUGCGUGGAAUAAAACCCCCUUUAAACCUUC